UACGAAGGGGGGCUAGCGUUGCUCGGAAUCACUGGGCGUAAAGCGCACGUAGGCGGCUUCUUAAGUCAGGGGUGAAAUCCUGGAGCUCAACUCCAGAACUGCCUUUGAUACUGAGAAGCUUGAGUCCGGGAGAGGUGAGUGGAACUGCGAGUGUAGAGGUGAAAUUCGUAGAUAUUCGCAAGAACACCAAUGGCGAAGGCGGCUCACUGGCCCGGUACUGACGCUGAGGUGCGAAAGCGUGGGGAGCAAACAGG
rnacentral:rRNA from 1 species